rnacentral:lncRNA from 1 species
CUUUGACCAGCUGUAGAGCAGUGGCCACAGCAGCUCAUCUUUACAUAGGCACAUGCCCUUGUGAUUCAGCUUCAUUGCAUUGCAGAGGUGAAGGAAGGUGAAAAAGGCACACCAGCAAACAUGUGCUUGUGCCAAUCAGUUGCGUUCCAGUCUGAACCUCCAUAAGCUCCAGUAUCUUUAUUUCAGAGUAUUAGACAAUGGAAGAGAUUCUUUUUUUGCUUAAACAUAAAGAUUGUCUUUUCAUGUAAUUGUCCCCUUACUUAAAGUUUUUUUUGCAAGGUAAGUGGUAUAACUCACAUACUCCAUGUCCUUACAGUGUAAGUAUCAAGGUGAGCUCAGUCCACAGCUGUGGUUUCAAGCUAACGAGUGAGAAGCAACAGCUUGAAUUAAAUCCUGUGCUUCAUCAACACAACCUGGGAAUCAGGCUUCCUUUGAUCUCCAUGCGUGAUACUGGAUAAGUCCUGUAAAUUCCUUGUUCAUUAGUCUUUCCAUUUAUUUCUCAAAAGCCACUAUGUAAGCCACAAUGAUAAGCAGAUUCCUUGAGUCGUACGAAGAGUGACACAGCCUAUCCUUAAGCUAUGUAGUAGAAAGCAGAGGUGCUGAGAAUUCAAACACUGUGUAGAAUAACAUGAUACUGAAUGAAACUGCGGUUUUUAAGAGAAAGCUGUGGAGAACAGCCAUUCAGACUGCAAGCAACAAACGAGUGUGGGGAGCUCAGCAAUAUUCGGAGCUGUUGGAUUCUUGGGCCACAAAGCGGGAUGAAGCCCUGCUGCUGGAAAUAAGGAAGAACUGCAUUGCUCGGAGGAUUGAAGAGAUGGAAGCAGAACUAUUUUAUCUUCAGCAAAGUAAAAUAGGCACCAGCCAAUUUCCUUGAGGAACCUAGCUCAUAAAUCAAUAGCUAAAGGCAGAUUAUGGGAACAUGUUUGAAUCUGUGGACAGAGUGCUUUAUCUGAAAUAUCUUGACAGAUACAUACAUAGUUGGAGUUGCACUUGGUCAAAUAUGUCAUGAAUAAUCUAUAUUCUGUUUGCUUUAAUUGGUUGAAGUACAUUCACGCUUACCCUCAGUCAUCAAUAAUUUUCUGGGCUUGAGAGGAAAGCUGAAGUUCUUAACGUUGUUUACUAAUUUCAGAGUUUUCAUUGCUAAAUCAGUAAAGCAGAAAAGAUGAGAGGCUGUGGGUCACUCCAUCUUACCAGUGUAUUCUGUACUGCCUUUUUGAUCUCUGAUAUCAAGGAUAGUUGUGAGGAUCUUUUAGGUACAGUUCAGAGCAAUACUUCAAAGCCUUGCCCAGCAUUUCUAUGCUGCCUAUGCAUGUUUUCAAUAGAAUCGUAUUGAUCUCAGUAAGGUCUGCUGGCAGAGACCUUGAAGGCCUUUAGAGGUGUGAUGUUUGGGCAAAGUAUGCUUAAAUCAUUCCCUGUAGUAGAGCAUGCAGCAAGCUGGGUAUCUGCUGGUGUCCAGUGCUCUGGGAGCUUGAUCUUUAAAUAGAGUAUAUCUUUCCUACCAUUUCUAAUCUUUUAGUCUGUCUUUAUGAUGCCAGGAGACCCUGACUGCAGAAUAGGCUUUGUUUCUGAGGAUUGAGAUUGGACUCAGCACACCUACUGUCUCUUUCUGCACAGUAUUCCUUAGCUCCAGGUGAAGCAGCAUAACAUAAACUUGCUCAUCUGUGAGCUAGCACAAUGCCUUGGCAAACCGCGUUGGUAGGCUUCAGCCAACUGUUUCCAACAGCAAAGUCUGUUCUUUUUCAUUUCAGUGUUUACUGAAUUGCUUAUGUGUGAAGAGGUUUGUGAACCCACUCCUUCCUGGUUCCAAAACACAAACCUGUGCUUACUCAUUCUGCCUUUGCAUAACCACAGAGGGUAUUAAGAGGGUGAGACCUAAGUGCCUGGGAGCUUAUACAGAAGCUCUCAGCUUUAGUUCCAUAAACUGGUGUCUCUCCUCGAUCCAGAGGAACUGCCUGUUUUUUGCCCUCACCUACUCACUUUGGUGGUUCCACAUUUUCUGAGCUUGCUCCCAGAAGCACAAGCUUUGUUGUAGUUCCUUUGCACCUUGGGAGAAUUUAGUUAUUUGCUGACACCUUGAAGGGACUUUCAGAAAAUGAGAGGAUUUUAGGAAGCAAAAUGUACCUACAUGCAACCAUUACAAAACACCGUGAUUGCCUUCUUCUGGGAUAUAUAGUAAUGAAAAGGCUGUCAUUGCUCUCCUAAUUGCUUUAUUUUCAGGUUAUCAGCAGAUAUAACAGUACGACAUUGACAUAAGUAUCUUCAGUGACUGCUGUCUGUAAUAUCCACUGGAAAAUACAGUACACAGGUGAUAGAGUUAUCUCUGUGUGCUGUGCUUCCAGCCAAUAUUUGUAAAAGGUAUGUCGGAAGGCAGUAGCAAGUGAAAUCUGACAAUUUUUUUCAUUGCAAUAGUUUUCCAAUGAAAAUAAUUACUUUUAUUUUAGAUCAGAACAAAGAUGUGUAUAUAGGGUUUUGCUGAUUUUUUUUUUCCUUUUUCCCCACUGUUGUUUUCUUAACAAGUACACUUCAGUUAUAAAUAAAUAAUUCUGUGUUUCAAAUUAUUUUUUUUCC